ACGGGGGUGGCAAGCGUUGUCCGGAAUCACUAGGCGUAAAGGGCAAGUAGGCGGAAAGAUAAGUCAGUUGUCAAAGGCAUCGGCUCAACCGGUGUAAGGCGAUUGAUACUGUUUUUCUAGAAUUAGGUAGGGGAAGACGGAAUUCCUGGUGUAGCGGUGGAAUGCGCAGAUAUCAGGAAGAACACCAAAGGCGAAGGCAGUCUUCUAUGCCAUAAUUGACGCUCAAUUGCGAAGGUGUGGGUAUCAAACAG
rnacentral:rRNA from 1 species